UUGCUCCUGAUGAAGGCGGUAUCCGUUGGACGACGCAAAUUCAGUGCAAGCUUUCAGUUGUUAUUUAGGCUGGCUGAGGGUUUUAUUUUCAUCAUUUGUGUGGCUGGCUUCAUUACUUUAGUUGCAAUCCCUCAUAUGACAAUCAGGGACAUCAUACUUUGCAUCCUCGCGUUCCUACCGACAGGAUGGGGCCUGCUCUUGUACAGAUUCCUUAAGCUUGUAAGCCCUUAAUUCAUCAAACUCGAUUAUGGGGAUCUGUUCGUGCCUUGGCUCGAAGUUACGAAAUCGUGAUGGGGUUGCUUCUGUUCACACUUAUAGCAUUUCUGGCUUGGUUUCCAUUUGUUUCAGAGUUCCAAACACGAAUGUUGUUCAAUCAAGCAUUCAGCAGAGGUUUGCAAAUUUCUCGUAUUCUUGGGGGGCCUAGAAAAAAGGAAAAGAGUUCAACCACAGACAAAGAGUAAAUAUUC